rnacentral:lncRNA from 1 species
UGUAGGAUUUUUUUUCAAAUGAUAGCUUCUGCCAAUGAAAAGAAAGGUGCCUGGCAAUUGAGUGUGGAAUGGGUUAAUAGGGGUUUUGGUAGAGAAAAUGAUUAUGAUGAUUUUUUUUAUUUUUUUUACUUUUAUUUUAUUUUUGUUGUUUGUUUGUUUUUUUUUUUUUUUUUUUUUUUUUUUUUUUUUUUUUUUUUUUUUGUUGUUUUU